rnacentral:rRNA from 1 species
GAAGCUCCGCUACUGUGCCGCAUCGGGCACGUUUCGAUUUACUGGCGUAAACGCGUGAGGCGGGGAGUGGGGUGAACCGGGUACCUCGAUGUCUCCUGACUCAGCGAGGCAGUGAUUGCGUGUGGGGAAAUUCGUAUAUCAGGACACCGUGGCGAAGGCGACUGCUGGGGGUGACGCUGAGACGCAAAGCGGGGGAGCAAACAGGAUUAAUACCCUGGUAGUCCCGCUGUAACUGAGAGCUAGUUGUGCAGUGUGACGUAACGCAUUAAGUCUCGCCUGGGGGUACGGCGCAAGGUUAAAACUCAAAGGCACAAGUUUAUCGCGGCGAACUUACCCCGUUAUAGCAGAGACCAAGGUCUGCAUGGCUUUCAGCUCGUGUCGUGAGAUGUGGGUUAAGUCCCCAACGACGCACCCUCGCACUAGUUGCACGAACUCUAGGGAACUGCCGGU